UACGUAGGGUGCAAGCGUUAAUCGGAAUUACUGGGCGUAAAGCGUGCGCAGGCGGCUUUGCAAGACAGAUGUGAAAUCCCCGGGCUUAACCUGGGAACUGCAUUUGUGACUGCAUGGCUAGAGUGCGGCAGAGGGGGAUGGAAUUCCGCGUGUAGCAGUGAAAUGCGUAGAGAUGUGGAGGAACACCGAUGGCGAAGGCAGCCCCCUGGGUCAAGACUGACGCUCAUGCACGAAAGCGUGGGGAGCAAACAGG
rnacentral:rRNA from 1 species